CUAACCUGAAGCUACUCAGUUGCUUGGGCCUUGGUUCUCUGGUUCAGUCUGCUCAGCUUAAGCUCUCAGAAUCAGCAGUUUUUUUCUAGGCACCCCCCCCUCCCCCCCCAGCCCUGGCCCACCCAAAGCCCUCCUGGAGCUUGCUGGGCCCUGCUCUCAGUUGGCAGUUCUCCUCCUGUAUUGGCCGAGACCUUGACCUGGAGCAGCUGAGCAUGCUGAAGGACAAGCUGUUGGGGCAGAACUCUAGGAUUGAGGGUACAUUGUUGUCCUGGGCUGACUUCACGAAGCAAGAGAGCCCCCCCACCCCAUGCAAGCUACCAUUCUAGACAUGGUUGCACAAAAAUCUGGACUUGGUACAUGACCACCUGAGGAAUCUGUGGAAUGAUGGCCAUUAUCAUGGGCUUUGUGAGCUGGAGCCAGGAGCACCAGCUGCUGAAGAAGACCCAUCUCUGGAGCCUUUCUGCUACAUUGCAGCAAAUCAUUGGAAGGGGACAUAACCUGCUCCAGGGUGGAACCUCAGGACAGUGAUAAGGUGAUCUACUCUGUGCCGCCCAACAGCAGGGAGGUACUGCAGUCACUCCUGCUGACUGGACUCAUCCAGCACUACCAACUGCUUUCUGAGGGAGAACAUACCUGAGAAUAUGCUGUACUGCCUCUAUCCCUGAAUCCCCUGGAGUGAGGCUUUUGGGUACUACCACCAAGAGAAAGUUAAUCUCCAGGAACAGAGAAAAUACCUGAAACAUAGGCUUCUUGUGCUGUCUGCAGACAGGUGGAUGAGCUGCAACAACCACUGGAGCUUAAGCUGGAGCCAGAAUUGGAUUCAUUAGGGCUGGAGCCCAGGAUGGCAUAAGGGCCAGAGCUAGGCCUGGAGUUAGAGCCACUGCUUGAGGCAGGACUGGAUCUGGAGCCAGCACUAGAGCCCACACUAGGCGUGGUGGCACAGAGAGUGCCAGAGCCAAUCCUGGGACCAGAACUGAAGCUGGAGCCUCUUCUAGAGCCAUUUCCAGGGAACCUCAGGAGACAACUACCGUUGCUCUAUGAUAUGCUUAUAGUGUAACUUGAGAUACAAAUGAAAGUGGGGCCCCUGUGCAUUUUGGUGUUUCCUGGUUAUGUUAGAGCAACAGACUUGUUCAGAAAGAGGCCUUUCUGAACAGAAGUGGCUAAUAAACUUUGUGCUGACCUAGAAAAGAAAACUGUAGAUUUUUUGUUUGCUUAUUUUUAAAUAAAAAAGCCCUGUGCAGUUUAUCUUAGUGUACCCAAUCUUCUUUCAUCUGGUAUUAUGAGGACUUGGCAGUUCUUGACAAGAGAAUAGUCCAUUUCAUGGAGUAGGUGUCUUUCUUCCAUAUUAAAUGUGGUAUUUAUUAAAGUUUAUUUUCCUUUCUUAACCUUCUUGGCGUGAUAAUGGGUUGGUGGAUGUUGAAUGUAAAACAACAAAUACUUAUUAUGACUAUAACUUAAGCAGACACAAAGCUUGAUGAGGAAGGAAGUUCACACCCAGUACUAGGGAAGUUGUGAGAACUCUGACCUGUUAGCGGUAGUCUUGGGGUAAGUGUUACCUGUCCAGCCAUUAGAGAUCCAAGGAGUUCACAUUUAUUAGAAUUGGAAUUUGUAAAUAUUUUUUUUUUCUGUUGAGAUUAUACAUGCAUUUGCAGGGAUUCUCCCAUCUGUAUUUUCUUUUGCACUGAUACGGUUGCACUUACAAUGGCAGCUUUAACUAUAAUUUGACUCUUUACAGCCUACGUAGGAAAUAAAAACAAUUUUUAGUUUUAUCUUUAUUCUUAAAGCUUUUCAUUUAUUAUUCCUUGAAUAGUUAAUUGUAAGGUAAAUUGAAAAAUAUAUUAAAACUGAGUGGAACAUAAGCUUACUGAUAACCUUGCCCCAAUCCUGUUUUUUUAGCAGCUGUCUUUGGUUUAAUGACACUGAUCUAGAAAUUUUUAAGCAUCUUUGGUAAACCUUUCCUAUGCAAAGCAUCAAAUGCUAUGAAUCAGUAGUUAUGAAACCUCAGUUGGCAUGGGGACUAGAUGAUAUAAGUUAGUUGUAAUCCAGAAACAUUAUCAAGGUUUAUUCUGAAUGCAGUAUUUUCAUAGAUUGCCCUUGACAUUAGCAAGACUAACCUCACCUAUACUGAAAAUUAAUAUUUAGUGCUCUUUAAUGGUGGUGGCUGAGAACCUGAACUGAGGUAAAGACACUGCAAUUCUUCCUCUGUAAUGUCUUGCUUUCAUUCUUUUGUUUCCAUUAUUUCUGUUUCCUCUCACCUUUAAGCCUUUAUUCUCGUAAGAAUAGCGCAAGUUUGGGGAAGAUGGUGGAGUAGGGAGCACCAGGAAUCUGUCUCCCCACCUGGACAACAAUCGCACUGGCAGAAUCUGUCUGAUGUAGCUAUUUUUGGAACUCUGAAAUCUGUUGAAGGCUUGCAAAUUCCAUGGAAAGACUUGGGUUAAUUUUGGUCAAUUUCAGCUCUUAGGCCAAGCCAGUGGCAGGCAGCUGUGCACAUGUUCCUGGAGUAGCUUGCACUUAGCUUGCAGAAGCCAGGGUGGGCAAAAAGGCCCUGGCUUUCAUAUAUUGAGGAUCUUUGUUCUAAUUGCUGAUUACUGCUUCUGAUCACAGAGGUGCAGACAAAGAAGCAGGCAACCAUUGUUCCAAGCCCCUCCCCCUCUGGCUGAAAUGAUACCCAGGGGAUUUAAAGGACUAGUGUCCUUCCCCUCUUUUCCCCUUUCAGUUUUUCCUUUUCCUCCUUUUGGGUGCUAGAUAUUAAAGACUAGGAAAUUCAAAAACAACUGCAUAUUGGGAGAAAUGUAGGGUUUGUGCAUGGCCAGAAAAAGGCUCAGAAAAGACCUGAGAAUAAAUUUAUACCUAGGGCUGAUCUUUCGCACAGAGACAGCCUGCAAAAAAGCAAACAGUGAGAAGGGGGAGAAUCUGAUUUCUAAAGGUACUACGUUACUAGACUCAAAGGGCCAGUGUUCAGUAAAAAAUCACAGUUAUGUAUAUAAAAGAAAAAGAAAAGUAUGGCUCAUUCAAAAGAAAGAAUGAUCAACAGAAACUGUCCCUGAAAAAAAACGCCAAUGGCAGAUAUAGUAGACAAAGACUUUAAAAAAAACUCUUUUAAAGAUUCCUAAGGAACUAAAAGAAGAUGUGGAGAAAGUAAGACAAAGUAUGAACAAAAGGGAAAUAUCAAUUUUAAAAAGUACGAAAGCAAAAAGAAAUACAGUAAUUUAAAUGAAAAAUUCACUAGAGGAUUCAAAGGCAGAUUUGAUUAGGUAGAAGAAUCUGUGAACUUGAAGAAAAGACAAUGGAAAUAUUAUAAUGAGUUUGAGGAACACAAAGAGAAAAGACUGAAGAAAAGCAAACAGAGCCUAAGGGACUUGUGGGACACCAUCAAGUAGAACAGUGUAUGUAUUGUCAGAGUUCCAGAAGGAGAAGAGAGAGAGAUGCAGAGAGAAUAUUUGAAGGAAAAAAAAAAAAAAAGGCUGAAAAAUUCCCAAAUUCAAUGAAAGAAAUGAAUAUAAACAUGGGACAACCUUAAGGAACUCUAGUUAAAAUGAACUCAGACAAACAUUGACACACUUAUCAAACCAAAAUCAAGUCAAAAUUUCAUAAUCAAAAAUAAAAUCAAAGUCAAAUCAAAAUUUUAUUAAAAUGCCAAAGACAAGGAGAAUCUUGAAAGCAGCAGGAGAUGUGAAUCAUCGUGUAGAAGGAAUCUUUAAUAAGAUUAUCAGCGUAUUUCUCAUGAGAAACUUUGGAGGCCAGAAGACAGUGGGCCAAUAUAUUCAGAGUGCUAAGAGACAAAAACUAUUAACCAAGAAUUCUCUAUCCAGCAAAACUUUCCUUAAAGAGUGAGGGAGAAAUUAAAACAUUCCCAGAUUAACAAAAACUGAGGGAGUUGGUGAUCUCUAGACCUGCCCUGCAAGAAAUUUGCUCAAGGGAGUCCUGCAAGGUGAAAUGAAAGAACACUAGUAAAGGUAAAUGGGCAAAUAUAAAAACUAGUGUGAUUGUAACAAUGGUUUGUAACUAUACUUUUUGUUUCCUACAUGAUUUAAGAGACCAGUAUAUUUAAGGUUCAAUAUAUUAGUGUAAAAGCUAAAAGGGGUUGGGAUUGAGCUGUAAAGGAACAUAGUUUUUGUAUGUUACUGAAAUCAAGUUGAUAUAAAUUUUGAGUAUUAUAAUUUUAGGAUCCUAGUUAAAUAUAAUUCCCAUGAUAACAAGGAAAGUAACUCUAAGAUAUACACAAAAGGAGAUGAGAAAGGAAUUUAAACAUUUCACUAGAAAAAUGUCAGCUAAACACAGAAGAUACUAAUGCAGGAAUUUGAUGGGGGGAAAGCUAUAAGGCAUGUAGAAAACAAAUGGCAUAAAGGGCAUAAUCACUACUUCCUUAUCAGUAAUUACUUUACAUGUAAAUGGGUUCAACUCUAAUGAAAAGACAGAUUGGAAGAAUGGAUAAAAAUACAUGAUCCAACUAUAUGCUAUCUACAAGAGACUCAUAUUAGAACCAGAGACACAAACAGGUUGAAAAUGAAAGGAUGGGAAAAGAUAAUCCAUGAAAAUAGUACACAAAAGAGAUCAGGGGUGGCUAUUCUACUAUCAAACAAAAUAGACUUUAAAUCAAGAGAGACAAAGGACAUUGUAUAUGAAUUCAGCAAGAAGAUAGAACAUUUAAACCUUUAUGCACCUAAUGACAGAUCAUCAAAAUAUAUGAAGCAAAAACUCACAGAAUUGAAGGGAGAAAUAGUUCUACAUUAAUAGGUGAAGACUUCAAUACCCCACUCACAAUAAUGGAUAUAAUAACCAGAUAGAAGAUCAGUAAGGAGAGAAUUUAUUUUUUUUAAAUACUUUUUAUUAAUUUAUUUGAGAGAGAGCACACAAGCAGAGGGAGAGUCAGAGGGAGAUGGAGAAGCAGACUCCCCACUGAGCAGGGAGCCUGACGUGGGGCUCUAUCCUGGGACUCCAGGAUCAUGACCUGAGCCAAAGGCAGACGCUUAACCAACUGAGCCACCCAGGUGCCCUAGUAAGAGAAUUUAAACAUAACUCAGCUGAAUCUGACAGACACCUACAGAACACUCUCCCCAACAACAGAAUACACAUCAUUCUCAAGUUUAUGUGAACAUUUUCCAGGAUAAGAUUAUAUGUUAGGCCACAAAUCAGUAAAUUUAAAAAUCUAGAUACCAUAGUGGGUAUCUUCUCACCGUGGUGGGAUAAAGUUAGAAAUCAUUAUCAAAAGGAAGUCUGGAAAAUUCAAAAAAUUGUGGAAAUUAACACUUUUAAACAACUAAUGGAUUAAAGAAAAAAUCACAAGGGAAAUUGGAAAGUACUUAGAAAUGAAUGAAAAUGAAAAAACAUUAAAACUUAUGGGAAAUUAAGGGGAUGUGAAGGGGGAAAUUUAUAGCUAUAAAUGCUUAUAUUAAAAAACAAAGACCCAGAGUCAGCAACCUUACUUUACAACUUAAGGAAAUAGAAAAAUUAAAAAAAAAAAAAAAAAGGAACAAACUAGACCCAAAGCUUGCAGCAGGAAGUAAAGAUUAAAGCAGAGAAAGAUGAAAUAGCAAAUAGAAAAACAGUAGAGAAAAACAAUGAAACUAAAAGUUGGUUCUUUGAGAAGAUGAACAAAAUUGACAAACCUUUAGUUAGAUGUAGACUAUGAAAAACCACAGAAAAGCCUUAAAUUACUAAAAUCAGAAAUAAAAGUGGGGACAUUACUGCAGAUUCUACAGAAAUAAAAAGAAUUGUAAGAGAGUACUGUGAACAGUUGUAUGUCAACACACUGGAUAACCUAGAUGAAAUGGACAAAUCCCUAGAAACACAAAACCUACCAAAACUGUAUUAUGAAGAAAUUUUAAAAAUAUGAAUAGAUAUAUAAUUAGUAAGGUUAUCAAAUCACUAAUCAAAAAUUUUUCAACAGGGGCGCCUGGGUGGCUUAGUUGGUUAAGCGACUGCCUUCAGCUCAGGUCAUGAUCCUGGAGUCCCAGGAUCGAGUCCCGCAUCGGGCUCCCUGCUCGGAGGGGAGUCUGCUUCUCCCUCUGACCUUCCUCCCUCUCAUGCUCUCUGUCUCUCAUUCUCUCUGUCUCAAAUAAAUAAAUAAAAUCUUUAAAAAAAAAAUUUUUUUUUCAACAAAAAAUGUGAAUUCUACCAAACAUUUGAAGAGGAACUAAUUAUAGUCUUUCUCAAACUUUUCCAAAAAGUUGAGGAGGAGGGACCACUUCCUAACUCAUUCUAUAAGGCCAGCAUAACUCUGGUACCAGUGCCAAAGACAUUAUACAAACACCACAGACCGAUACCCCUUAUUUACAUUGAUGCAGAAAUGCUCAAAAAAAUGCUAUCAAACAGAAUCCAGCAUAUUAAAAGGGUUACAAACCAUGAUAAAGUAGGGGUAUAUUCCUGGAAUGCAGUGAUGGUUUAACCUAAAAAAUUGAGCACUUUCAUGUGUCAUAUCAACAGAAUGUAGGAUAAAAAACACAUGAUACCUCAGUUGAUGCAUAAAAAGCAUUUGACAAAAUUCAGCACCCUUUCAUGACAAGAACAAUUAACGUAGGAAGGAAACUACCUCAACAUAAUAAAAGCUGUAUAUGAAGAACUCACAGUGAACAUCAUACUCAGUGGUGAAAGACUGAAAGCUUUUCCUCUACAAUGAGGAACAAGGCAAAUGCCCACUUUUAUCACUUCUAUUCAACACAUUAUUGGAUGUUCAAGCCAUAACAAUUAGCCAAGAAAAAGAAGAGACAUCUAAAUAGAAAAAGAAUAAGUAAUAUUAUCUCUUU